rnacentral:lncRNA from 1 species
GGGUAGUACUAGCUACUCAUGUCUCCCCCAGAAACCCAAGCUAGGCAUGGACAUACUGAAAAGAAUGUCAAUACCAUUAAAAAACUCUAGAAAAAUUAUAUGUGAUGACUGAGGUUAAUUCAGUCUGUCAAUUACAUCAAUAUAAUUCCCUUCUUGUAACACUAAAUAUGGUGAAACAGAAUUGAAUUCUACAAAAGUAUUUCAUCUGUUUUCCUAUGGAAUAAUUAACAAACCAAAUAAAUGUAUAAAUAGUAUGAAGUCCAAUUUAUCUUAGAUUUUUACCUCUUAAUUUCAAAGC